CAGCCUGAGCCGGCGUGUCGGUGCCGAGGCUGGGCUGCAGCUCCUGGUGUCUGCGUCCCACUGGGAUUCUCCUGCGAUUGUUCAUUCACCAGAAAUGGCGUUAGAGCGUUCAUGGUGAUGGUGCUUCAAGUUCCCAAACGCCGGGAUGAGAACUGGACCUGCACAGAGAUCGUGCACCCUUCUCCAGUUCCCAACGGACUGUGAAUCAGGUUUGGUUUCUCCAUGCACAUGAAUGAGUUGGUAUCCCAUGGAAUUGAAUACAAGAUAACUCAAGAUAAGGGGACACAUGCUAAUGCUCCUAGUUUAGUUAUCCCUGUGGUCUCAGCUCCUUUCCAAGAGGCGAUGCAUGUUUUGCCAAGUUCAUGCAGAUGUGGGAGUAGGCGCCUUGAGUGCGGCAUGUUACUCCCCCCUAUUCACAAAUAUAUACAUGCCACCAUGGGAAGUGUGCAAUUAAGCAUUGCCAAUCUUGGACCUUUUAAUAUUGCAAAACCAAAGGGUAUCCAGAUGCCUUCAUUUGAAAUGAUAAUUGCCCCUUAUGGGGUUAACG